GGUCCCCGGGCCCCAGGCGGCGGGGCGAGGGGUGGCGGGCCCGCGGCGUUGGGAGGCGGCUGCGCAAGCCGCACCCCCAUUUCCACUCCGGGGUGGCGGGGCGCGCGCGCGGCACCCCCGGGGCAGUCGCUUGCUCGCGCUGGCUGCGUCUGCGGAAGUUGCGGUGGGGCGUCUGCACGCCCGGGGGCACUUCACCUGACUGGGGGCCCCGCGAGCCCCCUCCCGUUGAGAAGCAAUUCAGAAAACUUCCAGCCUAAGAGUAAACUUGCUGCCGAGGGCGACGCCCUACGUCCUGAGUCCUGGCGGAGGGGCCACGGGGCUCUGUGCGAUGGGAGACAAAAACAUGCCUGCCGACACCAGCCGUUCUUGGAAAUGUGUCGUGGCUGUUUACAAAAUAGCUUUAUUGAGACAUAAUUUACGCACCGUAAAAAUCACCCGUUUUACGUGUACACUUCACAGGUAUUUAUUGUAUUUGCGGUGCAGGCAUCACAAUCUAAUUUUGGAGCGUUUCCACCGUUCCGAAAGGAAACCUCGUGCCCAGUAGCGAUCCCUCCCCGCAGCCACUGAUUUACUUUCUGUCUCUACAAGUUUGUUCUGGACGCUUCCUGGAAAUGGAACAAUGCAGUACUCCGCCUUUUGCCUCCGGCUUUUUCCCCUCCUACCAUCAUGUUUUUGAUAUUCGUCCAGGUAGUAGCAUUUAUCAAUGCUUCUGUCCUUUUAUGUUGGCAGAUAAUAUUCCAUUGUGUGCAUAUACAGUGGUUUGACUUAACCAGUGCAUCCAUUCAUCGUUGUUUGCAGUUUGGGGUUUGGUGAACAGGACUGCCACGUACAAGUCUUUGUGCGCAGCCCUCCAGGCGCCUGGGGCUGGUAUCCUUAUGGCCUUGACUUGCAUUUCCCUUCGUCCGGGAAGGAGGAGAGGGAAAAAACCCAGUCUUCAGAGCCAUAGACCUGAGGUCCCUCAGUAUCGUUUAUAAUCAGCCUUUUCCGUCCGCCAAAUGCGAAAGUAAUAGCACAGAAUACCGCAUUCGUGGGAACGCGCCAGGGAAGUGCGAACGGAUGAACACGGCGGCUGCUCUUCACAGGUGGAGUGCUUCGGGGUGUCAUCCACCCUGGGGACUAUGGCACAGGUGUUUGGAUUCCCGCUUGACAGGUUAACCGCACCCAGGGCCCCCGCGCUGGGCUUGGGGCUGCGUGGGAGCCUGGAAGCCGAAAGGCACCUUUCCGAGGUUGUGUGUGUGUGUCGCAGCCUGGCCCUUGCGCCCCGGGGGGUGUGAUUUCAGAAUUGCUCACGGUCCCGGGAAUAGUUUCCUGUUUGCUGCCGUGUAACAGAUUACCUCCUUUUUAGUGGCUUAACCCAAGCUACGGCACCGUAGCCCUGCGGUCUGCCACGGGUGGCUGAGCGCAAAUCAGGGUGUGCGCGGGGCCCCGUUCUGUCCAGAGGACCCAGGGGAGAACCCAGCUCCUGGCCUCGCCAGUGGCUGCAGGGGCCGGCAGAGUUCUCCCCAGCCUGCUUUGCUUUGCUCUUGCUUCUGCAGUCACAUCUUUUUACCGACCCUCUCCUGGUCCCCCAGCACUCUCCAGGGCCCCUCUUGACUGCAUUUGGCCCACCGAGAAUCUAUUUUGAGAUCAGCUGAUAAGCAACUCCAAUUCUGUUUGCCAUGUGACCCAACAGAUUUGGAGGUGUGAUAGUGUGGCUUGUACGAAAUGCGGACUUGGUGUUUGUCCUGUUCCUGGCACGGAGCUCGGAAAGCCCUUGGAAGUUCCUGGGGUGAGAGCCACAAAGGUGUCUUUUCUCAUGCUAAUGAGGUGGCUGGGGAAGCCGCUAGGUGACGGGAUGCUGGCCGGUGCCGGGAAGGAACCCAGGGACUGGAGGGUGGGACUGGUAGUUCCUCCAGGGAGGGGAGAGGGUCCAUCCAUCCCCAGCGGCCAAUGAGUUAAGCAACAGAGUGUGUGUCAUGAAGCCUCUGCAAAACCCCAAAGGACAGGGUUCAGGGAGCCUCAGGGUUGGUGAACUCGUAGGGAUUUGGGGAGAAUGGUGCUCCUGGAGGGCACAGACGCUCUGUGCCUUUUUCUACGUGUAUGUCUUUUUUUUUUCUUAAAGGUUUUUUUUUUUUAAAGCUUAUUUAUUUUUGAGAAGGAGACAGAAUGGGCAGAGGAGGGGCAGAGAGAGAGGGAGACUGAGGAUCCAAAGCGGGCUCCAGGCUCCGUGCGGACAGCAGAGAGCCCAACAUGGGGCUCGAACUCACAAACCGUGAGAUCACGACCUGAGCCCAAGUCAGACGCUCACCUGCCUGAGCCCCCCCAGGCACCCCUCCAACCUCCAUUUCCCUUCUGCGUUUCUUCCACCUGGCUGUUCCAGGCUUCUAUCCCUCGAAAUAAACCUGUAGUCCAGGAAGGAAAAUGGUCCAGGAGUCGCUGUACCAAAUGAACUGACUCCAAGGAGGGGGUUAUGGGAACCUCCGAUCUAUAGCUGGUCAGUCCAAAGCACAGGUGACAGUCUAGACUUGGCUGUGACUGGCGUCUGAAGUUGAACUUGGGGGGCUGAGCCCUUAGUCUGUGAGAUCUGAGGCUGUCCCUGGAGAGACAGUGCCAGAACUGAGCUGAAUUUUGGACACCAAGCUGGGCAUCUGGAGAAUUGCCUGGUGUCGUGAACCCCAUUCCCACCACAUUGGAAUUUGGACCGGGACCCUUAACACGCUCCAAGGACUAGGACGUUGACCACCCUGGGGCCCUGUUACUCUGCCCGCCACAGGACCUGCUUGGUACUUGUGUGAUGGCGAAUUGUGCUGGCACCCUCUGACUGUGGCCGGCUCUGCAGGAGAGCCUUCUGGAAGAAACGGCAGUGUGUGAGUUGCUUCCUCUCGCUGACAAGCCGUCCUUCUCUUGCCCCACAGCCUUUGGUCUCCCCUGGUCCUGCGGCACCUGGCUGGAGCUCUGGAGCUCGGAGUCACCCCAGCGUCUCCCUCAAGUGCUGUAACCGUUAGCAGCUGAGUGGAGCGCUUGGGACCCGAGUCUGGCAGGAGGAAGCGGGCAUCGCGGCUUAUGCAGGGUUCUGCUACUUCUGUUGGAGUCUGGGCUUGGCGAGUGGGACGCUGAGACCCGUGUGUGGCAGGUCCUGGAGCGGCGGUGACUUCGCGGCCUCCGCGGAAGCGUGCGAAGAAUGGAGCCUCGGAGGGGCAGGGAUCCCUUGAAUGUCGGAGAAGAGAGACGGAGGUGUGCGUUGGCAACCUUCCCCUGAAACCUUGAGGUGUUCUUCUGUCCACCGCUGCUCGUCCUUGGCCCCCCCUUAUGACUUAGCAGCCUGCAGUCACCUGAUGUCACCAGGGCCGAAAGACACUUUAGAAACGCAGACGUGCCGGUGAGGAGGCUCAUCGG